UACAGAGGUCUCAAGCGUUGUUCGGAUUCAUUGGGCGUAAAGGGUGCGUAGGCGGCGCGGUAAGUCGGGUGUGAAAUUUCGAGGCUUAACUUCGAAACUGCAUUCGAUACUGCCGUGCUUGAGGACUGGAGAGGAGACUGGAAUUUACGGUGUAGCGGUGAAAUGCGUAGAUAUCGUAAGGAAGACCAGUGGCGAAGGCGGCCCCCUGGUUGGAUACUGACGCUGAGACGCGAAAGCGUGGGGAGCAAACAGG
rnacentral:rRNA from 1 species